rnacentral:rRNA from 1 species
AGAGUUUGAUUCUGGCUCAGAACGAACGCUGGCGGCGUGGAUAAGACAUGCAAGUCGAACGAGAGAAUUGCUAGCUUGCUAAUAAUUCUCUAGUGGCGCACGGGUGAGUAACACGUGAGUAACCUGCCCCCAAGAGUGGGAUAGCCCCGGGAAACUGGGAUUAAUACCGCAUAAAAUCGCAAGAUUAAAGCAGCAAUGCGCUUGGGGAUGGGCUCGCGUCCUAUUAGUUAGUUGGUGAGGUAACGGCUCACCAAGGCGAUGACGGGUAGCCGGUCUGAGAGGAUGUCCGGCCACACUGGAACUGAGACACGGUCCAGACACCUACGGGUGGCAGCAGUCGAGAAUCAUUCACAAUGGGGGAAACCCUGAUGGUGCGACGCCGCGUGGGGGAAUGAAGGUCUUCGGAUUGUAAACCCCUGUCAUGUGGGAGCAAAUUAAAAAGAUAGUACCACAAGAGGAAGAGACGGCUAACUCUGUGCCAGCAGCCGCGGUAAUACAGAGGUCUCAAGCGUUGUUCGGAAUCACUGGGCGUAAAGCGUGCGUAGGCGGUUUCGUAAGUCGUGUGUGAAAGGCGGGGGCUCAACCCCCGGACUGCACAUGAUACUGCGAGACUAGAGUAAUGGAGGGGGAACCGGAAUUCUCGGUGUAGCAGUGAAAUGCGUAGAUAUCGAGAGGAACACUCGUGGCGAAGGCGGGUUCCUGGACAUUAACUGACGCUGAGGCACGAAGGCCAGGGGAGCGAAAGGGAUUAGAUACCCCUGUAGUCCUGGCAGUAAACGGUGCACGCUUGGUGUGCGGGGAAUCGACCCCCUGCGUGCCGGAGCUAACGCGUUAAGCGUGCCGCCUGGGGAGUACGGUCGCAAGAUUAAAACUCAAAGAAAUUGACGGGGACCCGCACAAGCGGUGGAGUAUGUGGCUUAAUUCGAUGCAACGCGAAGAACCUUACCUGGGCUUGACAUGUAAUGAACAACAUGUGAAAGCAUGCGACUCUUCGGAGGCGUUACACAGGUGCUGCAUGGCCGUCGUCAGCUCGUGUCGUGAGAUGUUGGGUUAAGUCCCGCAACGAGCGCAACCC